GCCUAGUAAGCUCAGUUGGUAGUGCGUCUGCCUUGUGAGCGCUAGGCCGCGGGUUCGAUUCCCGCCCGGGGCG
rnacentral:tRNA from 1 species